CUAGGGUAUUGGGGUUUUUCCCAACAUUUCGGACGGGAAAUCCCGCUGUCCCUCCAUCUUCGACAUGUAUAUACAAAAAAUAAAGAAUAAUUUAAUGAUCAAUUUUAGAAAAGCAUGCAGAAUAAUGAAAUUUAUAAAGAGGACGGAAGUAUAGUAAUUCGUAGAUUAAUUGCAUGCCGAUCAGACUGUAGAACUAAAUGGCUUCGCAGGUGGCAAGCAGGCAUGCGAAUCUAAAAAGGGUCACACACACGAGCACGUGCUCGCAUUUUGCACAACCUUUUCAAAGACGGAGGCGAUCAGCUGGCGGUAUUCUCUCUUCCUUUUCCCCUCUUAUCUCCUUCAACGACGAGAAAAAAGAAUUAAAAAGGAUAAAAAUGAGCAUACACCCCCUUCGUCCGCACCCGCAUCCUGUGCCAGAGCAUAGUGCUGCUUUCGUAAAAACCGGCCUGUCGGUUUCCAUUCAAAAUGCGCGAGUCACGAGGGCUCAUUCACAAAUUUCACGACGAAAUUCUACACUCGGCCGGACCGUCUGCGAUCUUGAUCGAGACAACAGAGACAAACACAUAAGAGUGAGAGCGAUCGGGAUAUCCUUAUUCUUGAAACCUCUUGUUGCUGGAUUUAUAUUCACGUAAGCUUUUUUUUUGCAACAAAAGAACCAACGAUGGUUCAUAAUGACGUACACGAUGCAUUUAAAUUCGUCGCAACCGGUAUGAGCACAGGAAUUUAUCGAGCAGUCAGCUGAUUUUACGUAUCUACAUAGACUGACGUAUAAGAUCUUUAAAUGAUCAUAAAAAUAAGGACACCCGAAAUUCUAUUGAAAAAAGUAAUCAAGAUAUGAGGUUUUACAAAAAGACUUUAUCGCGAUCAGUGUUCUUAAUUGACACUGACGAAUGCACGAACAUUAGUACAAACGAUAUUAGAUAGAAAAUUCUGUUCAUUGAUCUGCGCUGACUGAAAUAUACUUAACGAUCAUGUAGAUUAUUGCCCGUUUGAGAUCUGGAGAAUGUUGAUGACUUCCGUCUCCCGCAUCAAGCAUCGGAAGCGCUAGGAUGUAAAAGAAAGAAGGAUGAACCGUUAACGUGACGCACGGGUGCCGUUCGAUCAUUAUUCGACCCGGUGUCUGUUUUCUGAUGGGAUACAUCUCCUGUUGCAGUAGGUGGUUCCUUCUAUCGCUUCGCGUACGGACCACGUGCCACGCUGAUCCUCCCUCGUUGAUUCUCUUUCUUCCAUUGCUGUCGUCCAGACGGCUUUAAGGAGAGAUGAAAAAAAUGAAGGGGACGGAAAAAGAGGAAGUGGACUAGACGAUGAGGGGGCUGAGGUCGUAGUCCUGAACAGUUUGCUGGUGGAUUCAUGGAAUUCAUCCUUCUACUCACUUUUAAUCGUGGCUCAUUGAAGAAUCCAGGCGCAAGAAGAUGCUCGUUGCACAUUAUCUCAAUCCUUUAAACAGUUUCCGUAGCGAUUAAUGAAUGACAUGGGAAGAACUAGUAACCGUUUUACUACACGGAAAUCACAGGAAAGAGAGACUUGUAAUUUUUGUUUAAUAACGUAGCGGGAAACAUUUUCCGAAUCGCAUUGCAUUGGCGUUGUCUGAAAACAUUACUGUAUGAAAAUUCUACGAAGAAUGAUUAAGGUCGAUGAAGACGAAAAUGCGAUCUGUUGUCGUAACGAGGGAAAUCGGACAUCUCUAAGUAUAGCUCGUAUUUGCAUGCAGAUCAGGGACGGAUCGUACUGGGUUGCCAAGCUGCUACAACGUGCAAAGUCCACAAGCAAUCAUUUGUAUCUACUUCGAUGACGAUUACGAACUUGGCAAUGCUCGGAAAGAAGCGCCAUUGUUGCACAAUCAAAUUCCUUCUUUCGGCUUUGGGAUACUGAUUUCAAAAUUUCUCAUUGAGAAGUUUCUGUUAUUCUGUUUCUGUUACGAGAGUUUAUAAUACUUUAUAUGAGGUGGUUUCUAGGAUCAGUUAUCAUUAUCGAUCAGUUUUCUUAAAGGACUACGUAGGAUUUGCCAACGAGGAAAGCGAGAGCCUCGUGCCAAGAGCGUUUAAUGACACUUUAUGAAAGACACUUCGUGAAGCUAAGAGAGGUGGUUUUUGUCUUGUUUGUAAACAUACAACAAUGUAUAAUAGGAGAAAAGAUACACUAUCAAUAUAGUAGUACACGAAAAACUAACUAAUCAAAAUGAUAAAUAUUGUUAACUAGAUGCAAAGAAUAAUCAAAGAAGCAUGUAAAUAAAAUUAAAUAAUAAUACAAGAAGAUAAAUUAGAUGCAUCUAAUGACGUUUUAGAUGUGCAUGAAUUCACGAAAUUAAAACCAUGACCAUUUUGCAAACUCCUGGCCGACCACCAACGAUUAACCAUUUAUAAUUGCGAGGAUACUACAUUUUGGCACGUGACACAGCAUUUAUAGAUCGCGUCUCGAUUUAAUCGUCGUCGUUUCAAUUAUUUUUCUGGCUACCUGUCAUCAGAAGCGUGGAUCCGUGGAUCCAGUCGAUG